UACGGGGGGAGCAAGCGUUGUUCGGAUUUACUGGGCGUAAAGGGCGCGUAGGCGGUCAGCACAAGUCAGUUGUGAAAUCUCCGAGCUUAACUCGGAACGGUCAACUGAUACUGUGCGACUAGAGUGCGGAAGGGGCAACUGGAAUUCUCGGUGUAGCGGUGAAAUGCGUAGAUAUCGAGAGGAACACCUGCGGCGAAGGCGGGUUGCUGGGCCGACACUGACGCUGAGGCGCGAAAGCCAGGGGAGCAAACGGG
rnacentral:rRNA from 1 species